rnacentral:snRNA from 1 species
GCGCUAACUUUGGCAGGACAUUACACUAAAAUUGGAAUAAUAAAGAUUAGCAUGGUGCCUGCGGGAAGAUGACAUGCAAAUUUGCGAAGCAUUCCAUAUUUUU